AUUGAACGCUGGCGGCAGGCCUAACACAUGCAAGUCGAACGGAACCUUCGGGUUUAGUGGCGAACGGGUGAGUAAUGCCUAGGAAUCUGCCUAUUAGUGGGGGAUAACGAAUCGAAAGGUUCGCUAAUACCGCAUACGUCCUACGGGAGAAAGAGGGGGAUCUUCGGACCUCUUGCUAAUAGAUGAGCCUAGGUCGGAUUAGCUAGUUGGUGAGGUAAAGGCUCACCAAGGCGACGAUCUGUAGCUGGUCUGAGAGGAUGGCCAGCCACACUGGAACUGAGACACGGUCCAGACUCCUACGGGAGGCAGCAGUGGGGAAUAUUGGACAAUGGGCGCAAGCCUGAUCCAGCCAUGCCGCGUGUGUGAAGAAGGCCUCGGUUGUAAAGCACUUUAAGCGAGGAGGAAGGUCAUCAUACUAAUAUUAUGAUGAAUUGACGUUACUCGCAGAAUAAGCACCGG
rnacentral:rRNA from 1 species